rnacentral:rRNA from 1 species
GAUGAACGCUGGCGGCGUGCCUAAUACAUGCAAGUCGAGCGAACGGACGAGAAGCUUGCUUCUCUGAUGUUAGCGGCGGACGGGUGAGUAACACGUGGAUAACCUACCUAUAAGACUGGGAUAACUUCGGGAAACCGUAGCUAAUACCGGAUAAUAUUUUGAACCGCAUGGUUCAAAAGUGAAAGACGGUCUUGCUGUCACUUAUAGAUGGAUCCGCGCUGCAUUAGCUAGUUGGUAAGGUAACGGCUUACCAAGGCAACGAUGCAUAGCCGACCUGAGAGGGUGAUCGGCCACACUGGAACUGAGACACGGUCCAGACUCCUACGGGAGGCAGCAGUAGGGAAUCUUCCGCAAUGGGCGAAAGCCUGACGGAGCAACGCCGCGUGAGUGAUGAAGGUCUUCGGAUCGUAAAGCUCUGUUAUUAGGGAAGAACAUAUGUGUAAGUAACUGUGCACAUCUUGACGGUUCCUAAUCAGAAAGCCACGGCUAACUACGUG